GAUGAACGCUGGCGGCGUGCCUAACACAUGCAAGUCGAACGGAGUUUUAUGAAGUUUUCGGACGGAAUAAAACUUAGUGGCGGACGGGUGAGUAACGCGUGGGUAAGCUGCCUCAUACAGGGGGAUAACAGUUGGAAACGGCUGCUAAAACCGCAUAAGCCUACAUUGUCGCAUGGCAGAGUGUGAAAAUAUUUCUAGGUAUGAGAUGGGCCCGUGUCUGAUGAACUAGUUGGUAAGGUAACGGCUUACCAAGGCGACGAUCAGUAGCCGGCUUGAGAGAGUGACCGGCCACAUUGGGACUGAGACACGGCCCAAACUCCUACGGGAGGCAGCAGUGGGGAAUAUUGCACAAUGGGGGAAACCCUGAUGCAGCGACGCCGCGUGAGUGAAGAAGUAUUUCGGUAUGUAAAGCUCUAUCAGCAGGGAAGAAAAUGACGGUACCUGACUAAGAAGCCCCGGCUAACUACGUGCCAGCCGCCGCGGUAA
rnacentral:rRNA from 1 species